rfam:Trametes pubescens strain FBCC735 TRAPTBscaffold_1532, whole genome shotgun sequence.
GGGCGUUUAGCACAGUGGUAGCGCGCCUGCUUUGCACUAUAUGUAGCAAUUUGCAUGAGGUCAAGGGUUCAAUCCCCUUAACGUCCA